rnacentral:rRNA from 1 species
AUUUCUUCACAACCUGCACAUGAAUCAUUUAGGCGAAAAUAUUUUAUUCCUGUUGUUGAUCAGGCUAUCAGUUCACUUACAACAAGAUUUGAGCAAUAUGAAUCAUUCCAAAAGAACUUUGGUUUUUUAUUUACUUCUGAUGCACUAAAAUCAUUGGAUGAGAAGAGCUUAAAAUAUUCUUGUAGUGUUCUUGAGGCUGCACUAAAGAGUGGGGGGAAAUCAGACAUUAAUGGUAGUGAAUUAUAUGUUGAGCUAAAUUUACUUAAAAGUUUCAUUCCAAAUGAUAAUAUGGGGCCGGUUGAUAUCUUGAAAUUUCUUAAACGGCUAGAUUGUUUCCCUAAUGCAACUAUUGCAUAUAGAAUUUUGUUAACUAUUCCAGUGACCGUCGCAUCAGCUGAGAGAAGUUUCUCCAAAUUGAAAUUAUUGAAGUCCUAUCUACGUUCAACAAUGACACAAGAAAGGCUCAGUGGGUUGGCUACUAUAGCAAUUGAAAAUGAUAUACUGGAGGGGGUUGCUUAUGAAGAUCUAAUUGAAGAUUUUGUAUCAAGAAAUGCUCAAAGGAUGGCACACUUUGGCUAA